rnacentral:rRNA from 1 species
UACGGGGGGGGCAAGCGUUGUUCGGAAUUACUGGGCGUAAAGGGCUCGUAGGCGGCCAACUAAGUCAGACGUGAAAUCCCUCGGCUUAACCGGGGAACUGCGUCUGAUACUGGAUGGCUAGAGGUUGGGAGAGGGAUGUGGAAUUCCCGGUGUAGCGGUGAAAUGCGCAGAUAUCGGGAGGAACACCUAUGGCGAAGGCAGCUCGCUGGGACGUUACUGACGCUGAGACGCGAAAGCGUGGGGAGCAAACAGG